rnacentral:rRNA from 1 species
UACGGAGGUGGCAAGCGUUGUUCGGAAUUACUGGGCGUAAAGCGUAUGCAGGCGGAUCGUUAAGUCGGGGGUGAAAUCCCGAGGCUCAACCUCGGAACUGCCUUCGAUACUGGCGACCUUCGAGUCCGGGAGAGGUGAGUGGAACUCCGAGUGUAGAGGUGAAAUUCGUAGAUAUUCGGAAGAACACCAGUGGCGAAGGCGGCUCACUGGCCCGGUACUGACGCUGAGAUACGAAAGCGUGGGGAGCAAACAGG